rnacentral:rRNA from 1 species
CGUCCCGCCGGCGACCGGCGCACGGGUGAGUAACACGUAUGAAACCUGCCCGUAGCAGGGGGAUAAGCGGAAGAAAUUCCGUCUAAUACCGCGUAACAACCCGAGGAGGCAUCUCCUCGGGUUUAAAGGAAGCGAUUCCGGCUACGGAUGGUCAUGCGUCGCAUUAGCUAGUUGGCGGGGUAACGGCCCACCAAGGCGACGAUGCGUAGGGGUUCUGAGAGGAAGGUCCCCCACACUGGUACUGAGACACGGACCAGACUCCUACGGGAGGCAGCAG